rnacentral:lncRNA from 1 species
GUUAAUGGUCAUCUCUUUCAUUGUGUGUUAAGGGUCACAGAAUUGUAAUUAUGUUGAUAGGCUAGCCUAAAACAAGAAUUUCAACGUCCUCAAUUCAUUGCUGAUUUUGCUAUUAUUCGUGAAUGAGAAAUGAAGGCUACACAGAAGUAAACAGAAAAUAGAGAACCAGAACCUCCCAUCUUUGUCACCUUAAAUCCCUCCAUUUUCUUCAACCUAACACGUAUAUCCACCAAAUUAUCUGUUCUCUUAUUUUAUAAAAUGCCAUCUUGAGUUUAAUAUUCUGGGACCUAUACAAAGUCAAGCGGCUCAUGACAGAGGGUAAGGUAUACAUAUUUCUCAAUCCUUUCAAUAACACUAUGAAAACCAAAACCGAAAACCAAACAACCCAAAUUGAAAACUAACCAAACCCCCAAUUCAAAAACCAAAUCGAAAACUGAAAAACUCCCAAUUCGUAAACUCUAGAACCAUAAACAACUCCCAUCGAGUGAGAGAGGCUUACCAAAUUGUCACUUAGAAUGAGCAUAAACAACCUCAAACUUCCUUUGCGAGACAGACUAAGCACAUAAGUGACGAAAUCGCUAAACCCAAAUCGAAAUAGCUAACCCAGAUUGUCACUUAGGUUCAUCUUUCUGAGUUCGUGGUUCAUCUUUCAAUGUAUAGGCUGAUAGAGAGAUCGAGAGAAGGUUAGGCUGAGAGUGAAUUAGAGUUUUGAGUGAUUUGAGCGAAAUGGAUUUGAGUGAAUCGGGAGGGAAAUUGGUUUUUGAGCAAAUUGGUUUUUUGUUUUGACCAAAUGGCAUGGGUUUUCUGUUUUGAUCGAUGCGAGUGCGUGGUAGGUUUUCAUUUUCUUUUUUUUUGUUGGUUAAAUUGGUUUUCAGUUUUGGGGCUAACGCGGCUGUAUCUUUCCCUCCUAGAUUUGGCUAAGUGUUAAUAAGCGCGGUAUCUUUCCCUCUCUUACAAUUUGAGAUUUUCAAGUUGUUCAGACGACAUAAAAAUGUAGUCUGAGCUCGACAAAUUUCUAAGAUUUUGAUCUUUAAUUUUCGUAUUUUUGUACGACAAUUAUUUGUCGUCUGAGUUUUUGAACUUGCAAAAAAAUUGAAACACAUUGAAAUUCAUAAGUUUUCUCCCAUCUCAGACUACAAAAGUUUAAAUUUCUAUCGUCUGAGUUCAUUGACACUUGUCAGACUACAUAUCUCGAGAAUUCUGUUGUCUCAUACCUGUCGUGUGAAGCCUUUUCUGACGUAGUGCCCUAACCUUCUUGGAUUUCAGCCAUAGCUUAUCAUCAUAUUCAAUAUAACAUCCCGCAACAAAUCCAAUAUUAGGAAAGUUUUCAAGGAGUUCAUACUUAGGAGGGAUGUUUUGAAUACGUACUGACACGACCCACCCCAAAUUUCACUCUGAAACCCGGAGUAGGUCGUGCGGGGACCACCUCCAAGGAAAAUUUACUGAAAAGAUUAAGAAAAUCUCCCUUGCAGAUGGAUAACCCUAACUCGAAAAUUCCAAGUUACACUCUUAAUUCAACACGUCCAAACAUCACAUAAUUAACUUUCAGAAAUUCUACACAUAAAAUACAAUAAUCCCAAAGUAUUCAGAGCUACUAAACACUAGCGGAAGCAAGAAAACACGAGUAGGUUGAACAGGUAACCUACUGACGAAAACUAGCAGAAAUGCGGGUGACUAUGCCUCGCCUCCUACUAGAUCCAACCCGAACUCCGCAGACUGGGCAAUUUAAAACGAAGGGCCCAGGGGAAAACAUUUAAUAACGUUAGAGUGAGUGAACAAAAAUAAAAUAAUAAAUAAAAUAUUUAUGUUUCCCCAAAUUAAUUUCUAAGGAAAAAUCGAAUGCAUGCCGCAAGCGAUAAAACUUUUAUCUCAUAAAAAAAUAUCGAGCCUCUCAGACUCUAUAAUAUAUGUAUGUAUUUACACUCGUCCAUACUCCCUA